rnacentral:rRNA from 1 species
UACGUAGGGACCAAGCGUUGUUCGGAUUUACUGGGCGUAAAGGGCGCGUAGGCGGCCAACUAAGUCGGAUGUGAAAUCCCCAGGCUUAACCUGGGAACUGCAUCCGAUACUGGAUGGCUUGAAUCCAGGAGAGGGAUGCAGAAUUCCAGGUGUAGCGGUGAAAUGCGUAGAUAUCUGGAGGAAUACCGGUGGCGAAGGCGGCAUCCUGGACCGGCAUUGACGCUGAUGAGCGAAAGCUAGGGGAGCAAACGGG